UACGUAGGCAGCGAGCGCUGUUCGGAGUUAUUGGGCGUAAAGAGCGUGUAGGCGGCCAGGUAGGUCUGCUGUGAAAACUCGAGGCUCAACCUCGAGAUGUCGGCGGAAACCAUCUGGCUAGAGUCCGGAAGAGGAAAGUGGAAUUCCUGGUGUAGCGGUGAAAUGCGCAGAUAUCAGGAAGAACACCCGUGGCGAAGGCGGCUCUCUGGGACGGUACUGACGCUGAGACGCGAAAGCGUGGGGAGCGAACAGG
rnacentral:rRNA from 1 species